GCAAGGUGCAAACCACAAUUUGCCAAGUGCACUGUCCUGCACAAAUCUCAAUGCCAGUUAGUGAAGGAGAUAGUAGAGGCUGCAAGAAUUCAGAUCAAAGUGCACGGUCAAGUUAUGGAAGUGCGUUGGGUGAUUGUCAAGACUACUAGCGUAUAUGUGGUCUAUUAUCGUAGAGCAUUGACCAUUUCUAUCAUUGUGCUGAGCACAAAGUUGGGAAUGUUCAGCUGACAGCAGCUAACAUUUUUGCUCUGAUUUGUUGUUUGGGUAGGUCCAAAUGUUUACUGCGAUUAUUGUGAACAUUUUAGAAUUGUUCACUACCUUGAAGCCAUCAAGUGCCUUAUUUACCUUAGAUUGUGUCAUAUUUGGAGACAUUCCAGAACAUUGUAUUGAUAUGUAUGAAAUGUUAUGCUAUAUUUCAUGGAAAUCUGCCAAAUAAACAUGUACACUGUUCAAAUCACAA